UUUCUCUAGUCUGGAUACAUCAAAUAUUUUCUCAAUUCUCUGAUAAUAUCUUUUUGAGGAAGAUCUUUUUACCUUUUUUAAUGGUUUUAUUAUUAUAAUUAAGAAUAUUUCAAUAUGUGUCCCAUUUAUCUAUUUUUUUAACUUUAUUAAUAAAGCUUUGUAAUUUAAUCUAAGAUUGCUAAGCUAUUUAUUCCACCAAGAAGACUGCCUUGAUGAGCCAGAAGUCUCAAUUGGACACUUUUGAUGGUAGGAUAAGAAAAUUGCCUGACAAAUCUUGUCAACAAUCAUCUCUACAUCCAUCACAGAGCAAAACUUGCUCUGAAAAUGCCCUCAAGGUUAAACUUAAGAUCCUCUCUAAAAGAAACCUAGUUAUUUCUACUUGGAUUUCUGUAUGUUAUCUGAGCGGGAUUGAAGCAAAUGUAUCUAUGAUCCAAAGUAGAUGAUUCAUAUUCUCAGUUAGAUCAAAAACAGUUUUAGUUCCUAAUGAUAGAUCAUUGACUUUCCUUCUAUUUUUAAUAAUAAAGGUAGAUUCAUUGCUCUUAUUUAAAACAAAAAGAUUAGUACAUAUUAGAAAUUCCAAUGAGUGAUCCCUCUUUGAGUGAUAUCCUGUUUUUCCACACUAUAUGAUGAGAAUUAGCAUUCAGUAAAUCAAAUUUGUUCUAUUAACAGAACUCUUCCAAAUGUUCUAGUGCCUCUAGUACUUAGAUUGUGUUAUUGUUUGUUUUUUACUAACCCUGUUGAGUAAUUAAACUAUAUAAUAAUCUUGAGAAAAACAAGGACUGUGAUCUCAUUAAUACUUUAACAGAAAUAUUCAGUCUAAUACAUCAUUUGAAUUCAACAUGGAUUCUGUGCUAUUGGAUGUGUGGAUGGAUUUAACUAUAUGCAUAGGUGAAUGAUGAUGCCUGUGUAGCAGUACUCAAAAUAAAAUCUUUUUUUAAAAUAUAUUUGUAAUGUC
rnacentral:lncRNA from 1 species